UAGCUAGCCUGUAAUAUAUAG
rnacentral:misc_RNA from 1 species